AUUGAACGCUGGCGGCAGGCCUAACACAUGCAAGUCGAGCGGAUGACGGGAGCUUGCUCCUUGAUUCAGCGGCGGACGGGUGAGUAAUGCCUAGGAAUCUGCCUGGUAGUGGGGGACAACGUUUCGAAAGGAACGCUAAUACCGCAUACGUCCUACGGGAGAAAGCAGGGGACCUUCGGGCCUUGCGCUAUCAGAUGAGCCUAGGUCGGAUUAGCUAGUUGGUGGGGUAAUGGCUCACCAAGGCGACGAUCCGUAACUGGUCUGAGAGGAUGAUCAGUCACACUGGAACUGAGACACGGUCCAGACUCCUACGGGAGGAAGCAGUGGGGAAUAUUGGACAAUGGGCGAAAGCCUGAUCCAGCCAUGCCGCGUGUGUGAAGAAGGUCUUCGGAUUGUAAAGCACUUUAAGUUGGGAGGAAGGGCAGUAAGUUAAUACCUUGCUGAUUUGACGUUACCGACAGAAUAAGCACCGGCUAACUCUGUGCCAGCCGCCGCAGUAACAC
rnacentral:rRNA from 1 species